rnacentral:lncRNA from 1 species
AUAUGAAAUGGCACACUGCAUUUAAGGUGCUUCAUGAAAAAUGUAUUUAAAUGACCUUGGCUAAUUAGCGUGAAUAGCUUUGAGGCACUGCUGCCUGAAUGAAAGACAUUUUUAGAGUCCAGAGAUUUAAAAGGUUUCAUGACUGGAUGAGCAAAAUUUAAACCAAGGGAAAAGAGCAAACAUUAAUUUUCAUAGAAAUUAAGGUGAAUUAGAUGACCUGAUAGAACUUUUUUCAAUUUCUUGCAGGUUCUGUACUGUUCUUCUAAGCAUAUGCCUGUUACUCCUUUCAGUCUAAUUGCUAAAUUUCUUAAAUAACCAGGAUUUCAGCACUCUCAUCAGAAGAUUAUAUUAGAGUCUAAUGGAUCAGAAGCUGCUCAGUAAUUUCACAAGAUGUAAUGCUUGGGCAAUUGUUGAGCUUUGCUGCAGACUAAAAAACUUUGAACCACUUCAAAUGGAAAGAAAAAUACCAUAA